UUCCCUCCCUUCCUUUGGCCUUUUCCCUUCGUUUUUCGCUCCCAAACAAAAUUCCGUUGCUCCCAAAUGUUUUGUUCUCUCUCACACAAAAAUGAAACAUUUCAUCUUCUUCUUGAUUUCAUUUUGCCCACAACAUCGAUUGCUCUACUUUCUUAGAAUUUCCUCUGAAUUUCAGUUGAUUUCCAAACAAUAGCAAAUUUGAAAAUCAUAAAGAAUGGCCAAAAGGGCAUCUCAAGGAGGGUGGAGAAAAUGAGGAGGUGGUGACACUAGUCGAGGCGAUGGCUACGAUGGUGGUGGAGGUGGACAGAGAUGGUUACGGUGGUGGACGUGACAGUGGUUGCGGAGGUGUGGUGGCGGCGGCUCCCAUUGCUCUCGUUUCUAUCUCUACUCAAACCCUAGUCGACUUCUAUAUUUUGGUUCUAAAUGGUGGGGGUGUUUUUUUCGAUCAAUGGAUUGGCUCGAAGAUACCCUGUGCUUCAUUAAUUUAAACCCAUGUUCUGAUUUUGUGUGUGCAUUAAUAAUAGGAUCCGAUUUUCAGGUACCCAAUUUACCCAUUCCAAUGGGGAAAACUAUGUACACUUUUAUCUUCAUUUCAAGAUAUGGACGUAGUGGAUGAAUUUGAGUGUGGAGAAAGGAAGAGAAAAGAAGCGGAAGAAAUUUCGCUUCACUAAUUUGAGGAUGAAUUUAAGAAGCUCUUCACUUCCAUCGAGUUCAAGUGCACUCUCUGGUCUUUCCCCUCUACUCCUAACAAUCAAGUCACGUUUAAUUUGAUGAGCAAGCUACUUUAUGGCUCUAUUCAAGUAGAAGCCCAUGAUGGAUCAAAAUGCAAAGCUCUUCUAGUGGUUGAAUGGCGGAAGUAGGAAGGCAUUGAGUUCAAGUUGGAUGUGGUGAAGCCAACCACUUCAUUAGAAAAAACGGUAGAUGUGAAAUUGGCGAUGGGAUUUCAUGAAGCUAAAAAAGAUAAUUAUUUAGGGUAGACAAGUAAUUUUAAGGUUUUAGAGUCAUGUAAUUAUUGUAGUUACUAAUUUCGUUUAUCUUUGUAAGUUAAAUAUAGCUUGUGGAGAGAUGAAUAAUUAUAUUUCUUUUGUCGAAGUGAAUUAGUUAAUUGUUAUGUUUGAAGAAAGUUAAGUUGUGUAUACAAAUAUCA